CCUAGAACUAAGAGAAACAUCUCUAAGCCACAGAACAUCUGACCUAUAAUGAUCCGACUACAGUAGUCGAUCAACGAACCAAGUUACCCUAGGGAUAACAGCGCAAUCCUCUCCCAGAGCCCAUAUCAACGAGAGGGUUUACGACCUCGAUGUUGGAUCAGGACAUCCUAAUGGUGCAGCCGCUAUUAAGGGUUCGUUUGUUCAACGAUUAAAGU
rnacentral:rRNA from 1 species